rnacentral:rRNA from 1 species
AAAUUGAAGAGUUUGAUCAUGGCUCAGAUUGAACGCUGGCGGCAGGCCUAACACAUGCAAGUCGAACGGUAACAGAAAGCAGCUUGCUGCUUUGCUGACGAGUGGCGGACGGGUGAGUAAUGUCUGGGAAACUGCCUGAUGGAGGGGGAUAACUAU